rnacentral:rRNA from 1 species
AUUGAACGCUGGCGGCAGGCUUAACACAUGCAAGUCGAGCGAGCGGCGGACGGGUGAGUAAUGUCUGGGAAACUGCCUGAUGGAGGGGGAUAACUACUGGAAACGGUAGCUAAUACCGCAUACAAUCAGAUGUGCCCAGAUGGGCUUAGCUGGUAGGUGGGGUAAUGGCUCACCUAGGCGACGAUCCCUAGCUGGUCUGAGAGGAUGACCAGCCACACUGGAACUGAGACAGGGUCCAAAUUCCUAGGGGAGGCAGCAGUGGGAAAUAUUGCACAAUGGGGGAAAGCCUGAGGCACCAAUGCGGGGUGUGUGAAGAGGGCCUUCGGGUUGUAAAGCACUUUCAGCGAGGAGGCGUUACUCGCAGAAGAAGCACCGGCUAACUCCGUGCCAGCAGCGCGGUAAUAC